GACGAACGCUGGCGGCGUGCUUAACACAUGCAAGUCGAACGGAAAGGCCCUGCUUUUGUGGGGUGCUCGAGUGGCGAACGGGUGAGUAACACGUGAGUAACCUGUCCUUGACUUUGGGAUAACUUCAGGAAACUGCGGCUAAUACCGGAUAGGAGCUACUGCAGCAUGGUGGGGGUUGGAAAGUUUCGGCGGUUGGGGAUGGACUCGCGGCUUAUCAGCUUGUUGGUGGGGUAGUGGAUUACCAAGGCUUUGACGGGUAGCCGGCCUGAGAGGGUGACCGGCCACAUUGGGACUGCGGUACGGCCCAGACUCCUACGGGAGGCAGCAGGGGGAAAUAUUGCACAAUGGGCGGAAGCCUGAUGCAGCAACGCCGCGUGCGUGAUGACGUCCUUCUGGUUGUAAACCGCUGUCGCCUGUGACGAGGCGUUAGUGACGGUAAUGGGUAAGGAAGCCCCGGCUAACUACGUG
rnacentral:rRNA from 1 species